CCUACGGGUGGCAGCAGUGGGGAAUCUUCCGCAAUGGGCGAAAGCCUGACGGAGCAACGCCGCGUGAUCGAAUGAAGGCCUUCGGGUGGUAAAGAUCGGUUGACAGGGACGAAUAAGCCAAGCGAAGAGUUUGGUGUAUGACGGUACCUGUUUAGAAAGCUCCGGCUAACUACGUGCCAGCAGCCGCGGGAAUACGUAGGGAGCAAGCGUUGUGCGGAGUUACUGGGCGUAAAGGGCGCGUAGGUGGGUUCUUAAGUCAGGUGUGAAAACUCUGGGCUCAACCUGGAGACUGCACUUGAAACUGGGUAUCUUGAGGGCAGGAGAGGAAAGUGGAAUUCCUAGUGUAGCGGUGAAAUGCGUAGAUAUUAGGAGGAACACCAGUGGCGAAGGCGACUUUCUGGACUGUACCUGACGCUGAGGCGCGAAAGCGUGGGUAGCGAACGGGAUUAGAUACCCCUGUAGUC
rnacentral:rRNA from 1 species